rnacentral:rRNA from 1 species
UAGGGAAUUUUUCACAAUGAGCGAAAGCUUGAUGGAGCAAUGCCGCGUGAACGAUGAAGGUCUUUAAGAUUGUAAAGUUCUUUUAUUUGGGAAGAAUGACUUUAGCAGGUAAUGGCUAGAGUUUGACUGUACCAUUUUGAAUAAGUGACGACUAACUAUGUGCCAGCAGUCGCGGUAAUACAUAGGUCGCAAGCGUUAUCCGGAUUUAUUGGGCGUAAAGCAAGCGCAGGCGGAUUGAAAAGUCUGGUGUUAAAGGCAGCUGCUUAACAGUUGUAUGCAUUGGAAACUAUUAAUCUAGAGUGUGGUAGGGAGUUUUGGAAUUUCAUGUGGAGCGGUGAAAUGCGUAGAUAUAUGAAGGAACACCAGUGGCGAAGGCGAAAACUUAGGCCAUUACUGACGCUUAGGCUUGAAAGUGCGGGGAGCAAAUAGGAUUAGAUACCCUAGUAGUCCACACCGUAAACGAUAGAUACUAGCUGUCGGGGCGAUCCCCUCGGUAGUGAAGUUAACACAUUAAGUAUCUCGCCUGGGUAGUACAUUCGCAAGAAUG